UUUUUUUAAUGUUGGAAUCAUUGAAUGAAAAAGGAACAAUCUUGUUUUAAGCUUUAUGCCUUUGCUUUUCCGCUAAUUAUUUGGCAGCAUUAGAGACAUCUUGCUGAUCCUCUCGAGAAUGUUUAGAUACAGAGUUCAGUGACAUACAACAUAAUGUACAUAAUGCCUUGGGGUGUAAAGUGCUUGCUACAAGUAUCCUUAUUCAGCUCUUCUGCCAUUGGGUAUCCUGGAUCAAUUGGGUCUUCAAGCCUGAUCGAUAAGAGAUAUAAGCCAUACAACCAAGAUGCAGAGAGGAAAGGGAGUUUUGAUCCAACAUCUGAUCACGCCAUAGCUUUGCAUGCAGUAAGAAGACAUGUUUGGUCAUAUGUUGAGUAUGGUUAUUUUCAUAAUUCUUCAGAAAUAAUGCAGGGCAGAACAGAGACAGGACCCUAUUCCUGGGAGAUGGGUCUGGUGAGAACAAAGCAGAAGGCAGCCUGGUGAUAUGCUGUUUGAAAGGAAAUAUUGCUAUUUGGAGCAUUAUGAGCAACUAUGCCUGGUUUUAAAGGGCUCCCUCUAUACAUUUCCAACAUGACACAUAGAAAAAUAUGUUUGCUCCUUGUCUCCAAGGAACACAGUGGCCAACACCAAAGAAGAUCCAAGAAAACAUGUCAUUAAGAUUUAUUUGAAUGGCCAGCAAAAAGAAGAAUUGAUAAUAAAAG